rnacentral:rRNA from 1 species
UACGGAGGGUGCGAGCGUUGUCCGGAAUCACUGGGCGUAAAGGGCGCGUAGGCGGCCUGAUAAGUAGGGGGUGAAAUCCUGCGGCUUAACCGCAGGGCUGCCUUCUAAACUGUCGGGCUAGAGCACGGUAGAGGCAGAUGGAAUUCCCGGUGUAGCGGUGGAAUGCGUAGAGAUCGGGAAGAACAUCAGUGGCGAAGGUGGUCUGCUGGGCCGUUGCUGACGCUGAGGCGCGACAGCGUGGGGAGCAAACAGG